rnacentral:rRNA from 1 species
CUACGGGACGCUGCAGUGGGGAAUAUUGGACAAUGGGCGCAAGCCUGAUCCAGCCAUGCCGCGUGAAUGAUGAAGGCCUUCGGGUUGUAAAGUUCUUUUAAUAGUGAAGAUAAUGACGGUAACUAUAGAAAAAGCACCGGCUAACUCCGUGCCAGCAGCCGCGGUAAUACGGAGGGUGCGAGCGUUGUUCGGAUUUACUGGGCGUAAAGGGUGCGUAGGCGGAUAUAAAGGUCAGGUGUGAAAUCCCGUGGCUCAACCUCGGAACUGCAUUUGAAACCGUAUAUCUAGAGUGUGAGAGAGGAUGAUGGAAUCUCUAGUGUAGCAGUGAAAUGCGUAGAUAUUAGAAGGAACACCAGAGGCGAAGGCGAUCAUCUGGCUCAUUACUGACGCUGAGGCACGAAAGUGUGGGUAGCAAACAGGAUUAGAUACCCUUGUAGUC